UAUCUUUUAUUGGACCAACUGUAUAGUUGGGAUAGUGUUAGACACGCUUUCAAAUGCAAGACAUUCUUCCAUUCUAACUUGAUAAUGAAACCUCUUGUGGGGAGGAGGCGCCUUACAGAACGUCAGAAAGGACAGUCACAAGGCCUUCUCCCAAACAGUUUUUGUAGGUCACUCUUAAUAGCACUAAGGGUCUGGGCCGAGCUUAAUUCAAUACUCUCCAAACCCCAUUCCAAUGAUGUGCUUCAGAUGUGGAGCACUUCAGCAUCAUGCACAUGUACAGGUCCUCCUGCCUGGAGCACUUUGAAAUGGUGACAAGAGCAUGUUAUGGUGAUGCUCUGCAGCCAGAGGGCUGAAGAGCAGACAUCCAAGCAAGCCUUGCAGGCCCCAGUUGCUGGAGGUUUCUGAGGACAAGAGAGUGCUCAUUGACUGUCCACCUAAAUGGAUGGGUGGAGAUGCACACAACUCCUCCCUCCCCAUAUAGCUUGUGUUAGGAGUGAGCUGCCAACUGAGGGCCUGGUAGCUUUAACUAAUGAGCCCUCCUGAGAAGAUGCCGUGAACCCAAGGAGCCCAGAAUAGACCUCUAUUCACUCCUAACCCUGCUGUUCAUGCUCAAGUGAUGUUGGGGAAGUCCUGACCAUGCUGUACCACUUGAAUAAGAGUCUUAAGCCUACCUAUGCCUGUUCAGCAUCCUAUCCUAGCUCAUGUGCUAGUGGAUAUGGGGUGGCAUGCUUGCAUGAAUUGACAUGACAGGCCCUGGAAAGGUGCCUGGUGAAGAUGAGCUGCCUGGUCUGCAUCUCCCAUGCCUAUGUGCCUGACAAGGACGAUGCCAUACAGAACACCGUGGAGGCCAGCCUGCUGCAGGACCACCUGCAGACUGUGUGCUGGCUCUUCUGAGUCAGGGAUGUGAACAGUGACUAGUGGGAGUGCGUUGGUCACCACAAACUGGUUGAGCAAAGCCCAUGACUUCAGGGGCUUUCACAACUCCAGCCUGGUGCCCCGAUAAUGCAGGAGAUUUUCUCUAUGGGCCUACCAGCAUCAAGGUGAAGGUGUUACUAGAAACCUGGGCCUAUUCAGUCUUUAGAGAGACAAGGCUGCAGCCUGUCUAUGAUUAGGACCUCUUUUGCAAGCUUGAGCACAGAAUUAAGGGAUGGUUACAAUUAUUUUGAUGAUUAAGCCUAUUACACCAAAUCAAGAUAAAGUUUGAUUACACCAGAUUUGAUUACACCAAAUCAAGAUACAGUUAUACUUCUGUGAUCCUCCAGUUCCCUUUUAGCAGGUAGGUUUGUUGUUACCUCCCAAGUAGGAUGCAAGAGAUGGAUCAAUAACCCAGCCUUCUAUUGAUUGCACCCCA